rnacentral:rRNA from 1 species
CUACGGAGGGUGCAAGCGUUGUUCGGAAUCACUGGGCGUAAAGGGCGCGCAGGCGGUUUUACAAGUCAGAUGUGAAAGCCCACGGCUCAACCGUGGAAGUGCAUUUGAAACUGUAAGACUUGAGUAUCAGAGGGGAAGGUGGAAUUACCGGUGUAGAGGUGAAAUUCGUAGAUAUCGGGAGGAAUACCGGUGGCGAAGGCGACUUUCUGGCUGAAUACUGACGCUGAGGCGCGAAAGCGUGGGGAGCAAACAGGAUUAGAAACCCUAGUAGUCC